rnacentral:rRNA from 1 species
UAGCAUAUCAAUAAGCGGAGGAAAAGAAACCAACAGGGAUUGCCUCAGUAACGGCGAGUGAAGCGGCAAAAGCUCAAAUUUGAAAUCUGGCUCCUUCGGGGUCCGAGUUGUAAUUUGGAGAGGAUGCUCUGGGAGUGGUCGCGGUCUAAGUCCCCUGGAACGGGGCGUCGCAGAGGGUGAGAAUCCCGUCUUCGGCCGGCCGGCUGCAACCGUGUAGAGCUCCUUCGACGAGUCGAGUUGUUUGGGAAUGCAGCUCUAAAUGGGUGGUAAAUUUCAUCUAAAGCUAAAUACUGGUCGGAGACCGAUAGCGCACAAGUAGAGUGAUCGAAAGAUGAAAAGCACUUUGAAAAGAGAGUUAAACAGCAUGUGAAAUUGUUGAAAGGGAAGCACAUGCGACCAGAGUCGGCCGUGGGGGUUCAGCAGGGGUCCUCCCCUGUGCAUUCCCCCGCGGUCGGGCCAGCAUCAGUUCUGGCGGCCGGUUAAAGGCUUCGGGAAUGUAUCCUCCUCCGGGAGAACUUAUAGCCCGAGGUGCAAUGCGGCCAGCCGGGACUGAGGAACGCGCUUCGGCACGGAUGCUGGCUUAAUGGUCGUUUGUGGCCCGUCUUGAAACACGGACCAAGGAGUCUAACAUCCACGCGAGUGUUAGGGUGUCAAACCCUUCCGCGCAGUGAAAGCGAACGGAGGUGAGAGCCCCUCGAGGGUGCAUCAUCGACCGAUCCUGAAGUCUUCGGAUGGAUUUGAGUAUGAGCGUGGCUGUUGGGACCCGAAAGAUGGUGAACUAUGCCUGAAUAGGGUGAAGCCAGAGGAAACUCUGGUGGAGGCUCGCAGCGGUUCUGACGUGCAAAUCGAUCGUCGAAUUUGGGUAUAGGGGCGAAAGACUAAUCGAACCAUCUGGUAGCUGGUUCCUGCGA